rnacentral:rRNA from 1 species
AUUGAACGCUGGCGGCAGGCCUAACACAUGCAAGUCGGACGGUAGCACAGAGGAGCUUGCUCCUUGGGUGACGAGUGGCGGACGGGUGAGUAAUGUCUGGGGAUCUGCCCGAUAGAGGGGGAUAACCACUGGAAACGGUGGCUAAUACCGCAUAACGUCGCAAGACCAAAGAGGGGGACCUUCGGGCCUCUCACUAUCGGAUGAACCCAGAUGGGAUUAGCUAGUAGGCGGGGUAAUGGCCCACCUAGGCGACGAUCCCUAGCUGGUCUGAGAGGAUGACCAGCCACACUGGAACUGAGACACGGUCCAGACUCCUACGGGAGGCAGCAGUGGGGAAUAUUGCACAAUGGGCGCAAGCCUGAUGCAGCCAUGCCGCGUGUAUGAAGAAGGCCUUCGGGUUGUAAAGUACUUUCAGCGGGGAGGAAGGCGAUGCGGUUAAUAACCGCAUCGAUUGACGUUACCCGCAGAAGAAGCACCGGCUAACUCCGUGCCAGCAGCAGCCGCCG